rnacentral:rRNA from 1 species
AUUGCACGCUGGCGGCAGGCCUAACACAUGCAAGUCGAACGAGUGGCGGGCGUGUGAGUAAUGUCUGGGAAACUGCCUGAUGGAGGGGGAUCACUACUGGAACCGGUAGCUAAUACCGCAUCCCAUCGGAUGUGCCCAGAUGGGAUUAGCUGGUAGGUGGGGUAACGGCUCACCUAGGGGACGAUCCGGACAUGGUCUGGGAGGAUGAUCAGCCAAACUGGAACUGAGACACGGUCCAGAGUCCUACGGGAGGCAGCAGUGGGCAAUAUGGGACAAUGGGCGAAAGCCUGAUACAGCCAUGCCGCGUGUGUGAAGAAGGCCUUAGGAUUGUAAAGCACUUUAAGUUGGGAGGCGUUACCAACAGAAUAAGCACCGGCGAACUUCGUGCCAGCAGCCGCGGUAAUUC